UUCUGUAGCGCAGUGGAUAGCGCGUUGGACUUCUAAUCCAAAGGUUGUGUAAUUGGAUUCCACCUGGAAAG